GGCGCUAUAGCCAAGUGGUUACGGCGACAGAUUCGAACACCUAAUAAUUGCAAGUAUCUGUUCCUCUUUGAGGGCGUAGGUUCAAAUCCUGCUGGCGUCG